AGUAGGUUCAAGAACUAGACAGCUCUCCUCACAAACAUUCUUCAGUGUUACUUCUGGAAUUCUUCAAGGUUCUCUAGGAACUUAUAAAUCCUAAAAGCAUGGAUAAUCUACAGAAAGAACAUGACUACCACUUCAUAAAUAGGUCUGGAUGAGGUCACAGAAUGUGAGUUUCUAAGAAGUUUCAAGCUGACAGAUAAGCACUGCAAGUCUGGAGUCAAGAUUGUGAGGACCACUGCCCUUCUUAUGGACUGACUUCCUUCAGCCUGUAAACUAACUGAGUUGCCCUCGCUUAGAUGUCUUCCUUCAAACUCUAUCAGUGCUAACAUCCACACUCUACAAAUUGAGGCACCCUGUAAACAUUGUACUCCAUCACUUACCCUGUUACUGUUGGACCUGUGUGUUUAUUGACCCUGAAUGUUAAGAGUGCCAGAUGGGGAGAGGAAAUCUCAACUAUAUGCAUAUUGGCACCAAGAAAAUCUCUUCUAUAGCAAUGGCGGAAGGAACACUGAGUGGAGUUCUUGGAAAGACUGAAGUUUGGGCACUGAGAAAGCACUACACAUGAGAUGCAAAUAAAUUUGGUUAAGUUUCCUUUUACCUGCAUAUACAUGCAUACUGAUAUGAAUAUAGAACAGAAGGUGACCAGAUAAGGAGAGAUCUGAAGUCAGUGGUCUGAGACUCUCCUUGCUGGAGACAAGGAUGAGAGAAGAGAGAGGCACCUGCUUUGUUAUCUCCAAAGGGAGUGUACUUGCCUAGCUAUUGUUUGUGUUGCCAUGACAGCUGCUCAAAGGAGGCACCUGGACACCUGCACUGACCAGCUCAUCCUCCUUGUCAUGCUUCACACAGUUGCUGCUUUAUGUCCUUUUACAAAGCCCCAGAAUAUCUGGAUGCUACCCUGAUACGUGGGAUGCCUCCCACUACCCUAUGUUUUCUCUCUUAAGUUCCCACCUAUAAACCCACAAAAUAAACUUCUCCUUAAAC
rnacentral:lncRNA from 1 species